AGAAAGUCCAAGAGAUGCUGCCAGAAUAAACUCCCAGAUCCUGAUAUCUAUGGAUCAUAUACAACACUGGUUAUAAAGAGAAGGCCAUCAAGGGAGAGACUGAAACGUUAGAAAAUCUCAGUGAAGUUCCAGCCUCUGCGUUUUCUUUCCUGGUUUGACUGAAUGAAAUGAAAUGAAAUGAAAGCACAGUAAGAGGAUGAAAAAAAAAGUGGAGUGAAAGAAGACAUAAUUACCUUCAGAAGUUUACCCUCCUGUGGUCACGGAGUCCCAGGUAAGAGCUGAAAAUGAAGAACUGUUGUCAAAGCAUGGAAACU
rnacentral:lncRNA from 1 species